AUGUGCAAGGGACAGGAAAAGUUCCCAGAAAGGCGUGGACCGAUGGGAACAGAAAUAAGGCAGCUCACCACCUUGGACAGGGGAACCUCCUCACCCACAGCCCCACCUGCUGGACCCAGACAGGCCCUUCCCGAGCAGCCAGACCUGCUCUACCAGGAUGCAGAGCCGGGGAGGAGGGUGCAAGGCCCUCGCCAGGCGCGUCAGGGGACAGUGGAGGCACGGGGUCACCUCACCCUCCGUGCGACGCACUCCAGCCUGCAUCCCUGCACAUUGGUGCAGGCAGCCAGGUUCAGCAGCCUGGACAGCACAGGAGACCCCUGGGGAGCCAGGUCCUCCCACCACCAGGCUGGGAAGCCGCAGCCGCUAGCGGCCUUCAGACUUCUUACCAGUGAGCCAAGCCUUUGCCACCAAGUGAUCUCCAAGCACACCGAGUUGAAGGGCGUCCUCCCCAAAAUUCAUGCCCUUCCUGGAACCUCGGAAUGUAACCUUUUUUGGAAGUAAGGUUUCUGCAGGUGUAAUUAAGCUAAGAUAAGGUCUAGAUCAAGCUUGUUCGACGUGAGGUCUGCCGGCCGUAUUCGGCCCAGGGAGGCUUUGAAUGCGGCCCAGCACAAAUCCAUAACCUUUCUUAAAAUGUUAUGAGAUUUUUUUGUAAUUUUUUUUUUUUGGCUCAUCAUCUAUCACUAGUAUUAGUGUGUUGGAUGUGUGGUCCAAGACAGUUCUUCUGGUGUGACCCAGGGACACCAAAAGACUGGACCCCUUGUUCUAGAUGGGUCUGCUCUCCGUCCGGCCUGGGCUAGCUGCAGGAGGGUGAGCCCAACUCCAAUCUGACUGGUGUGAUUAUAAGAAGAGAAGAAACACGAAGACACAUACAGCGGUGCAGAUGCAGCAGGAGGCCACGCAGUGAUGGCGACCACAGCAGGACCAGAGUGACGUGCCUAUGACGUGCCUGCAAGCCAAGGACACCAGGGGUGCGGCACCCCCGGGAGCCAGAAGAGGCAGGCAGGACCCUUCCCAGAGCCCUCGGCGGGAGGUGGCCCUGCGACACCUGACCUUGGACUUCUGGCCUCCAGAGCUGGGAGACAAUAAACGUCUGUUGUUCAAAACA
rnacentral:lncRNA from 13 species